AGCUCAAAUUUUCUCUAUCUUUCAAUCAGAAAUCUUGAUUCAAUUUGAUUGGAGAUUCUCUCUCCGCCGCUAGCUUCAGAUUGCGCUUGGUCUCUCUACGACGAUCUGAAAUCUCAAUUUUGAAUGGUUUUGGAGCUUCAAUCCACAGCUUUCUUCUUUUUUUUUAGAUCUCUGAAACAAUGGCUGACGAGAACGUCGUCGACGAUCGCCGCCUAGCUCUAAAAUGUGUUCGUCAUCGACGCCUCGUCACUCCUUGUUCAGGCAAUGUAUCAUUCACUUCCAAUGCGGUGUAAGAGAGUUGUGGAUUUUCAUAUAACAUGCUUAGAGGAGAGAAUCAUCGUCAUCGUCAUCAUCACCUUAGCUCUUCAAUUUCCAACGAAAUGGAGCUGAAGCCAGGUCUCUCAGCUCUCGUCACCGGCGGAGCUUCUGGAAUUGGAUGUCACGAUGAAGAUUAUGACAUUCUCUCAACAAGGAUCUCAUGCUAUUUGCAUACUUUCUGCAAAUGGUACCAUAUCAAAUGUCACACUUCGACAGCCCAGUACUUCUGGAGGUACUUUUAACAUACGAGGGCCGAUUUGAGAUACUUUCAUUGUCUGGAUCAUAUAUGCCAACUAAGAAUGAAGGAACAAAGAGCAGGUCAGGUGGCAUGAGCGUCUCUUUGGCAAGUUCAGAUGGUAGAGUUGUUGGACUGGCUGGUCUAUUGAUAGCUACAGGACCUGUGUAGCUAACAUGGUUUCUUAGGAAGAAAAAACAAAAGAAGAUAGUCAUUAUAUUAUUCUAAUGAUUAGUUCGAAGGAGUAGAAUGCCACCUUCCUUUCCCUUUGACAUCUCUCUGUAACAGUUUAGGUAUCCAAUGAAUGAAGUUUGGUUCCAUUUUGAGUUGUAAAAAAAGGUUGUUCUUGUUUAAAGUUGUGUUUAGAAUUCGAAAACAACUUCAUCUAUUAAGAUUUGAAGCCACUAAUAGAAUCAUUCCUAA